CAGGUUUACCUGUGUGACUGCGUACCUUUUGUAUAAUGGGUCAGCGACUUAUAUUCUGUAGCAAGGUUAACCGAAUAGGGGAGCCGGAGGGAAACCGAGUCUUAACCGGGCGUUAAGUUGCAGGGUAUAGACCCGAAACCCGGUGAUCUAGCCAUGGGCAGGUUGAAGGUUGGGUAACACUAACUGGAGGACCGAACCGACUAAUGUUGAAAAAUUAGCGGAUGACCUGUGGCUGGGGGUGAAAGGCCAAUCAAACCGGGAGAUAGCUGGUUCUCCCCGAAAGCUAUUUAGGUAGCGCCUCGUGAAUUCAUCUCCGGGGGUAGAGCACUGUUUCGGCUAGGGGGCCAUCCCGGCUUACCAACCCGAUGCAAACUGCGAAUACCGGAGAAUGUUAUCACGGGAGACACACGGCGGGUGCUAACGUCCGUCGUGAAGAGGGAAACAACCCAGACCGCCAGCUAAGGUCCCAAAGUCAUGGUUAAGUGGGAAACGAUGUGGGAAGGCCCAGACAGCCAGGAUGUUGGCUUAGAAGCAGCCAUCAUUUAAAGAAAGCGUAAUAGCUCACUGGUCGAGUCGGCCUGCGCGGAAGAUGUAACGGGGCUAAACCAUGCACCGAAGCUGCGGCAGCGACACUGUGUGUUGUUGGGUAGGGGAGCGUUCUGUAAGCCUGUGAAGGUGUGUCGUGAGGCAUGCUGGAGGUAUCAGAAGUGCGAAUGCUGACAUAAGUAACGAUAAAGCGGGUGAAAAGCCCGCUCGCCGGAAGACCAAGGGUUCCUGUCCAACGUUAAUCGGGGCAGGGUGAGUCGACCCCUAAGGCGAGGCCGAAAGGCGUAGUCGAUGGGAAACGGGUUAAUAUUCCCGUACUUGGUGUUACUGCGAAGGGGGGACGGAGAAGGCUAUGUUGGCCGGGCGACGGUUGUCCCGGUUUAAGCGUGUAGGUGUGUGUUCCAGGUAAAUCCGGUUCACUUUAACACUGAGGCGUGACGACGAGGCACUACGGUGCUGAAGCAACAAAUGCCCUGCUUCCAGGAAAA
rnacentral:rRNA from 1 species